CAUGCAUGUCUAAGUACAAGCCUCAGUAAGGUGAAACCGCGAAUGGCUCAUUAAAUCACACCUAAUCUACUGGAAAGUUACUAGUUACUUGGAUAACUGAGGUAAUUCUUGAGCUAAUACAUGCGAAAAAUCUCGACUCACGGAGAGAUGCUUUUAUUAGAUCAAAACCAAACGGCUUCGGCCGUCUCAUUGGUGACUCUGAAUAACUUUGGGCUGAUCGUAUGGCCUUGUGCCGACGACGUUUCCUUCGAAGGUGUGCCCUAUCAACUGUCGACUGUGAUAUAGACGCUCACAGUGGUUUUGACGGGUAACGGGGAAUCAGGGUUCGAUUCCGGAGAGGGAGCCUUAAAAACGGCUACCACAUCCAAGGAAGGCAGCAGGCACGCAAAUUACCCAAUGACCGAAGGUCGAGGUAGUGACGAAAAAUAACGAUACAGGACUCAUCCGAGGCCCUGUAAUUGGAAUGAGUACACUUUAAAACCGUUCCCGAGGAUCUAUUGGAGGGCAAGUCUGGUGCCAGCAGCCGCGGUAAUUCCAGCUCCAAUAGCGUAUAUUAAAGUUGUUGUGGUUAAAAAGCUCGUAGUUGGAUCUCGGCGGACAGAAGUCGGUCCGAAUGCUUUCGGUACUGGCUUGUUUGUCCGUGUGUUUUGCCAGAGGCAGGCGGGUGCUCUUCGCCGAGUGUCCGUCUGUGCUGGCAGGUUUACUUUGAAAAAAUUAGAGUGCUCAAAGCAAGCUCUUACGCUUGAAUAUUCGUGCAUGGAAUAAUAGAAUAGGAUGUCGUUUCUAUUUUGUUGGUUUUCGGAAAUCGACAUAAUGAUUAAUAGGGACAGUCGGGGGCAUUUGUAUUCAAACGACAGAGGUGAAAUUCUUGGACCGUUUGAAGACAAACUACUGCGAAAGCAUUUGCCAAGAAUGUUUUCAUUAAUCAAGAACGAAAGUUAGAGGUUCGAAGGCGAUUAGAUACCGCCCUAGUUCUAACCAUAAACGAUGCCAGCUAGCGAUCUGCAGGCGUUUUACUUUACGACCUUGCAGGGAGCUUCCGGGAAACCAAAGCUUGUGGGUUCCAGGGGAAGUAUGGUUGCAAAGCUGAAACUUAAAGGAAUUGACGGAAGGGCACCACCAGGAGUGGAGCCUGUGGCUUAAUUUGACUCAACACGGGAAAUCUCACCAGGCCCGGACACGAGAAGGAUUGACAGAUUGAUAGCUCUUUCUUGAUUUCGUGGGUGGUGGUGCAUGGCCGUUCUUAGUUGGUGGAGUGAUUUGUCUGGUUAAUUCCGAUAACGAACGAGACUCUGUCCUGCUAACUAGUGUCUGCUUCUUUUCUGAGCAGAUUAUUCUUCUUAGAGGGACUGGUAGCUCUUAGCUACACGAGAUUGAGCAAUA
rnacentral:rRNA from 4 species